rnacentral:rRNA from 1 species
AUUGAACGCUGGCGGCAGGCCUAACACAUGCAAGUCGAGCGGAUGAAGGGAGCUUGCUCCUGGAUUCAGCGGCGGACGGGUGAGUAAUGCCUAGGAAUCUGCCUGGUAGUGGGGGAUAACGUCCGGAAACGGGCGCUAAUACCGCAUACGUCCUGAGGGAGAAAGUGGGGGAUCUUCGGACCUCACGCUAUCAGAUGAGCCUAGGUCGGAUUAGCUAGUUGGUGGGGUAAAGGCCUACCAAGGCGACGAUCCGUAACUGGUCUGAGAGGAUGAUCAGUCACACUGGAAGUGAGACACGGUCCAGACUCCUGCGGGAGGCAGCAGUCGGGAAUAUUGGGCAAUGGGGGAGAGCCUGAUACAGCCAUGCCGCGUGUGUGAAGAAGGUCUUCGGAUUGUAAAGCACUUUAAGUUGGGGGAAAGGGCAGUAAGUUAAUACGUUGCUGUUUUGACGUUACCAACAGAAUAAGCACCGGCUAACUACGUG